GGUUUUCCGCGGAGGCCAUUGCUAUUGGAGUCCGAUUUAGCCAUGCUAGUUGUACGAGUUCAGACUCGUAGCAUAUAGCUCAGUAACACGUGGCCAAACUACCCUACAGACCGCAAUAACCUCGGGAAACUGAGGCCAAUGGCGGAUACAGCUUCCACGUUGGAAUUACAGGAAGCUGGAAACGCUCCGGCGCUGUAGGAUGUGGCUGCGGCCGAUUAGGUAGACGGUGGGGUAACGGCCCACCGUGCCAAUAAUCGGUACGGGUCGUGAGAGCGAGAGCCCGGAGACGGUAUCUGAGACAAGAUACCGGGCCCUACGGGGCGCAGCAGGCGCGAAACCUUUACACUGCGCGACAGCGCGAUAGGGGGACUCCAAGUGCGAGGGCAUAUAGUCCUCGCUUUUGUACACCGUAAGGUGGUGUACGAAUAAGAACUGGGCAAGACCGGUGCCAGCCGCCGCGGUAAUACCGGCAGUUCGAGUGAUGGCCGAUUUUAUUGGGCCUAAAGCGUUCGUAGCUGGCCAGUCAAGUCUGUCGGGAAACCUGCUCGCUCAACGAGCAGCCGUCCGGCGGAAACUGAUUGGCUUGGGACCGGAAGACCUGAAGAGUACGUCCGGGGUAGGAGUGAAAUCCUGUAAUCCUGGACGGACUACCGAUGGCGAAAGCACUUCAGGAGCACGGAUCCGACAGUGAGGAACGAAAGCUGGGGUCUCGAACCGGAUUAGAUACCCGGGUAGUCCCAGCCGUAAACGAUGUCUGCUAAGGUAUGGCACAGGCUACGAGCCUGUGCUAUGCCGCAGCGAAGGCGCUAAGCAGACCGCCUGGGAAAGUACGUUCGCAAGAAUGAAACUUAAAGGAAUUGGCGGGGGAGCACUACAACCGGAGGAACCUGCGGUUUAAUGCU
rnacentral:rRNA from 1 species